rnacentral:rRNA from 1 species
UACAGAGGGGGCGAGCGUUAUUCGGAAUUAUUGGGCGUAAAGGGCGCGUAGGCGGCCUUUCAAGUGACGGGUGAAAUCCCUCGGCUUAACCGAGGAACUGCCUGUCAGACUGGAAGGCUUGAGACCGGGAGAGGUGAGUGGAAUUCCCAGUGUAGCGGUGAAAUGCGUAGAUAUCAGGAGGAACACCGGUGGCGAAGGCGGGUCUCUGGGUAGUAACUGACGCUGAGGAGCGAAAGCGUGGGUAGCGAACAGG